CCUACGGGUGGCAGCAGUGAGGGAUAUUGGUCAAUGGGGGAAACCCUGAACCAGCAACGCCGCGUGAGGGAAGAAGGUUUUCGGAUUGUAAACCCCUGUCCUCUGUGAAGAUAAUGACGGUAGCAGAGGAGGAAGCCCCGGCUAACUCCGUGCCAGCAGCCGCGGUAAUACGUAGGGAGCGAGCGUUGUCCGGAAUUACUGGGUGUAAAGAGUGCGUAGGCGGGAUAGCAAGUCAGAAGUGAAAUCCAUGGGCUUAACCCAUGAACUGCAUUUGAAACUGUUUAUCUAGAGUGAAGUAGAGGUAGGCGGAAUUCUUGGUGUAGCGGUAAAAUGCGUAGAGAGCGGGAGGAACACCAGUGGCGAAGGCGACCUACUGGACUUUAACUGACGCUGAAGCGCGAAAGCGUGGGUAGCAAACAGGAUUAGAUACCCUGGUAGUC
rnacentral:rRNA from 1 species